GGUGAGCCGCACACGUCUCGUGGAAUCAGGAACCCGGUGCGACUCCGGGGCGGUUCCGCCACUGUGACGCCCGGCCCGGCCCUCCGACGAGGACCGGACGGGCACAGCCAGACACUGGCC
rnacentral:ncRNA from 1 species